rfam:Succinatimonas hippei YIT 12066 genomic scaffold Scfld66, whole genome shotgun sequence.
AUAAUGAAGAGUUUGAUCAUGGCUCAGAUUGAACGCUGGCGGCAGGCUUAAUACAUGCAAGUCGAACGGUAACAUAGCGAAAGCUUGCUUUUGCUGAUGACGAGUGGCGGACGGGUGAGUAGUAUCUGGGAAACUGCCCUGAAGAGGGGGACAACAGCUGGAAACGGCUGCUAAUACCGCAUAAACCCUGCGGGGGAAAGGAAGGCAACUUCCGCUUCAGGAUGUGCCCAGAAGGGAUUAGCUAGUAGGUGAGGUAAAGGCUCACCUAGGCGACGAUCUCUAGCCGGUCUGAGAGGAUGACCGGCCACAUCGGGACUGAGACACGGCCCGGACUCCUACGGGAGGCAGCAGUAGGGAAUAUUGCACAAUGGGGGGAACCCUGAUGCAGCCAUGCCGCGUGUGUGAAGAAGGCCUUCGGGUUGUAAAGCACUUUCAGCGGGGAGGAAAUUAAGUUAGACGUUACCCGCAGAAGAAGCACCGGCUAACUCCGUGCCAGCAGCCGCGGUAAUACGGAGGGUGCGAGCGUUAAUCGGAAUAACUGGGCGUAAAGGGCACGCAGGCGGGCUGAUAAGUAAGGUGUGAAAUACCGGGGCUCAACCUCGGGGCUGCAUUUUAAACUGUCAGUCUAGAGUAUUGCAGAGGGAGACGGAAUUCCGGGUGUAGCGGUGAAAUGCGUAGAUAUCCGGAAGAACACCGGAGGCGAAGGCGGUCUUCUGGGCAAAUACUGACGCUCAGGUGCGAAAGCGUGGGGAGCAAACAGGAUUAGAUACCCUGGUAGUCCACGCCGUAAACGAUGUCGAUUAGGAGAUUGAGCAGAAGCUUGGUUUUCGGAGCAAACGCGCUAAAUCGACCGCCUGGGGAGUACGGCCGCAAGGUUAAAACUCAAAUGAAUUGACGGGGGCCCGCACAAGCGGUGGAGCAUGUGGUUUAAUUCGAUGCAACGCGAAGAACCUUACCUGACCUUGACAUCUGAGGAAUGCCUGAGAGAUUUAGGCAGUGCCUUCGGGAGCCUCAAGACAGGUGCUGCAUGGCUGUCGUCAGCUCGUGUCGUGAGAUGUUGGGUUAAGUCCCGCAACGAGCGCAACCCUUGUCCUUUGUUGCCAGCGCGUGAUGGCGGGAACUCAAAGGAGACUGCCGGUGACAAACCGGAGGAAGGCAGGGAUGACGUCAAGUCAUCAUGGCCCUUACGGUCAGGGCUACACACGUGCUACAAUGGGGCGUACAGAGGGAAGCGAGGCCGUGAGGCGGAGCGGAGCCCACAAAGCGUCCCACAGUUCGGAUUGGAGUCUGCAACUCGACUCCAUGAAGGCGGAAUCGCUAGUAAUCGCAAAUCAGAAUGUUGCGGUGAAUACGUUCCCGGGCCUUGUACACACCGCCCGUCACACCAUGGGAGUGGAUUGCACCAGAAGUGGCUUGCCUAACCCGUAAGGGAGGGCGGUUACCACGGUGUGGUUUAUGACUGGGGUGAAGUCGUAACAAGGUAACCCUAGGGGAACCUGGGGUUGGAUCACCUCCUUA